UAAUGGGUCAGCGACUUAUAUUCUGUAGCAAGGUUAACCGAAUAGGGGAGCCGAAGGGAAACCGAGUCUUAACUGGGCGUUAAGUUGCAGGGUAUAGACCCGAAACCCGGUGAUCUAGCCAUGGGCAGGUUGAAGGUUGGGUAACACUAACUGGAGGACCGAACCGACUAAUGUUGAAAAAUUAGCGGAUGACUUGUGGCUGGGGGUGAAAGGCCAAUCAAACCGGGAGAUAGCUGGUUCUCCCCGAAAGCUAUUUAGGUAGCGCCUCGUGAAUUCAUCUCCGGGGGUAGAGCACUGUUUCGGCAAGGGGGUCAUCCCGACUUACCAACCCGAUGCAAACUGCGAAUACCGGAGAAUGUUAUCACGGGAGACACACGGCGGGUGCUAACGUCCGUCGUGAAGAGGGAAACAACCCAGACCGCCAGCUAAGGUCCCAAAGUCAUGGUUAAGUGGGAAACGAUGUGGGAAGGCCCAGACAGCCAGGAUGUUGGCUUAGAAGCAGCCAUCAUUUAAAGAAAGCGUAAUAGCUCACUGGUCGAGUCGGCCUGCGCGGAAGAUGUAACGGGGCUAAACCAUGCACCGAAGCUGCGGCAGCGACACUAUGUGUUGUUGGGUAGGGGAGCGUUCUGUAAGCCUGUGAAGGUGGCCUGUGAGGGUUGCUGGAGGUAUCAGAAGUGCGAAUGCUGACAUAAGUAACGAUAAAGCGGGUGAAAAGCCCGCUCGCCGGAAGACCAAGGGUUCCUGUCCAACGUUAAUCGGGGCAGGGUGAGUCGACCCCUAAGGCGAGGCCGAAAGGCGUAGUCGAUGGGAAACAGGUUAAUAUUCCUGUACUUGGUGUUACUGCGAAGGGGGGACGGAGAAGGCUAUGUUGGCCGGGCGACGGUUGUC
rnacentral:rRNA from 1 species